rnacentral:rRNA from 1 species
UGGGGAAUUUUGGACAAUGGGCGCAAGCCUGAUCCAGCAAUGCCGCGUGCAGGAUGAAGGCCUUCGGGUUGUAAACUGCUUUUGUACGGAGCGAAAAGGUCUGCCCUAAUAAGGUGGGCUCAUGACGGUACCGUAAGAAUAAGCACCGGCUAACUACGUGCCAGCAGCCGCGGUAAUACGUAGGGUGCGAGCGUUAAUCGGAAUUACUGGGCGUAAAGCGUGCGCAGGCGGUUAUAUAAGACAGAUGUGAAAUCCCCGGGCUCAACCUGGGACCUGCAUUUGUGACUGUAUAGCUAGAGUACGGUAGAGGGGGAUGGAAUUCCACGUGUAGCAGUGAAAUGCGUAGAUAUGCGGAGGAACACCGAUGGCGAAGGCAAUCCCCUGGACCUGUACUGACGCUCAUGCACGAAAGCGUGGGGAGCAAACA